rnacentral:misc_RNA from 1 species
CUUUUUGCUUGUCUUCCGCUUGUUCAUCUAGGUCAUAAUGUCCGACAUUUUCCUUGCACCUGGUGCUUCUUUGAUUAUUUUGGGACCAACGUGACUGACGUCAUUUACUCCCUUUUGUACGCGUCACUUGGAAUUCUUACUAUUGCGACAUCUAGUGUUAUCAACAUUCUUGUACUCGUGGCAGUUGGGAAACAGGCGAAACGUCAUCACAAAGGAUUAAGCGUGCGUAGCAGAAAAGGCCGAAAAAGAGCCAAGAGAAAUGAAAUGUUUAUCCUGACCUUUAUCAUCGCUAUUUUACUGACUUUUGCCAUUUGCUGGUUGCCACUAAUGAUACGAAUUGUAACAAACAUUUCGCUGAAGCAGAUCCCAGACUAUCCUUCUGAUCUUCUUGCCAUAAGGUUCGCCUCCUGGAACCAAAUUCUCGAUCCGUGGAUCUACAUUGUGCUGCGGAAGGAGAUGUUGGCUCGGCUGUACAACGUCUAUAGACGAUUCAAUAGACAAGAAGCGUCUGAAUACAGCGUAUGCAAUGUUGACAGGUCAGAGGUUAAUGAUAAUGGUGACAUGCGCAACAGACUGAAUACAGCUCAAGACGAAACGCAUCAGCAAGUGUUGACGCAAAGCUCAAAAGAGACAGGAAACGUUUUGUCACCAAACUGAAAUUAAAUGAAUUAAUUGCGAUAAUGAAAUUUUUUCAUGAAAUACUUUGGUAUUAAUAUGUACCACUGUGAUAUCAAGAAGCUGAAUAAACUGGUUUGAAGUUCGUAAAUAAAAGAUUUCAGUCAU